GCAAGUCGAACGAGAGACUCUUCGGAGUAGUAAAGUGGCGAACGGGUGAGUAAUACAUGGGUAAUCUGCCUUUGAGCGGGGGAUAACCAGCCGAAAGGCUGGCUAAUACCCCAUACGCUUCCGGUCCCUCGGGUAAGGAAGGAAAGCUGCAUCGUGGAUGUGGCACUCGAAGAUGGGCUCAUGGCCUAUCAGCUUGUUGGUGGGGUAACGGCCUACCAAGGCUACGACGGGUAGCUGGUCUGAGAGGACGAUCAGCCACACUGGCACUGAGAUACGGGCCAGACUCCUACGGGAGGCAGCAGUGAGGAAUAUUGCGCAAUGGGCGAAAGCCUGACGCAGCGACGCCGCGUGGGGGAAGAAGGUUUUCGGAUUGUAAACCCCUUUUAGGAGGAAAGAUGGGGUGGGUUUCCACCCGGACGGUACCUCCAGAAAAAGCCACGGCUAACUUCGUGCCAGCAGCCGCGGUAAUACGAAGGUGGCGAGCGUGGUUCGGAUUUACUGGGCGUAAAGAGCACG
rnacentral:rRNA from 1 species